UUUCGAACGCGCGCAUGCGCGCUCGCUCUCGUCGCGUAGGACCGUAGCGCGUCGCGCGCCGGGCCCUGGCUGUCGGUUCGCCAUCUCUUCAUCUGUCCUCAGCGGUCAUCUAGACUUUUUGCAUGGCGUCCACGACUUGAGCAUUUUUUUUUCCUUUUCACGACGAAUCCAAAUGUCAUUAGCUGCAACACUAAAAACGAGAGUUACCAGGGCCGCGCGAAAUGCGACCGGACGAUCGUCCUGGAAUGCAGCCCGACUGAUCUCUGGAUCUUGUCUCCCGUUCACGACGUUUCCCGCGCAAAUCGCAGAAACGGUCCGCUCCUUACAAGUUCCUACGCGAUUGCAUUUCGAUAUUUUUGCGUGAAAUAAUAUUCGUGAAGGAUCCAAUUAUUCUUUCGACAUGGAAAAUUAAAUCUUGUGGAAAAAGAUACGUUUCAUCGAAUAAUCUACUCGACGCGAUCCAAUUAAUAAAGCUUCGAGAAUUGAAGUUACCGAAAAUCGACGAGUGAAUAUGUGGAACAAUGAUGGGAAUAAUUCUGUUUGAAUUUACUUAAUUAAUUAUGAAUGACUUACAUUGGCGGUAACGUUGUUAAACGGAGUAUAUGUAUCGUCAGUACAUUAUGUUUGCGAUACAAAUAUUUGCAUUGUGUUCAAAUAUCGUCGUCAGAAACGUCAAACUCUGUUAUAUCGGG